AGAGAACAGCUGAUUGCCAAAGUAUGCCACACAAGUGGCGUCUCCCUCGUGCGGCUCAGAGGAGAUGUGUUCGAUGCGCGCGUUGGGCAUCUGGCAAGAGAUUCACGGCACAACUGACCAGCAUAUGCCAACUUAAUUCAGGAAGUGGGUGAAAAAAGCUGCGCAAGCCAAGCAGCUGUGUUGUUAAUAAGCUAAACAGUUUUUGGCAGCUGUGGCGCGAAAAAAUACACGAAGCAACUCAUCAUCAGCUUAGAGGAGUGGAAAAGGAAGGACGAAGAAAAAACAAAACAUUGCUCAAUUUAAACGUCGGCCAAAAGUAUGAAACG